rnacentral:rRNA from 1 species
GGUCAAGUGAAGAAGCGCAUACGGUGGAUGCCUUGGCAGUCAGAGGCGAUGAAAGACGUGGUAGCCUGCGAAAAGCUUCGGGGAGUCGGCAAACAGACUUUGAUCCGGAGAUCUCUGAAUGGGGGAACCCACCUAGGAUAACCUAGGUAUCUUGUACUGAAUCCAUAGGUGCAAGAGGCGAACCAGGGGAACUGAAACAUCUAAGUACCCUGAGGAAAAGAAAUCAACCGAGAUUCCCUUAGUAGUGGCGAGCGAACGGGGAUUAGCCCUUAAGCUUCAUUGAUUUUAGCGGAACGCUCUGGAAAGUGCGGCCAUAGUGGGUGAUAGCCCCGUACGCGAAAGGAUCUUUGAAGUGAAAUCGAGUAGGACGGAGCACGAGAAACUUUGUCUGAACAUGGGGGGACCAUCCUCCAAGGCUAAAUACUACUGACUGACCGAUAGUGAACCAGUACCGUGAGGGAAAGGCGAAAAGAACCCCGGAGAGGGGAGUGAAAUAGAACCUGAAACCGUAUGCGUACAAGCAGUGGGAGCCUACUUGUUAGGUGACUGCGUACCUUUUGUAUAAUGGGUCAGCGACUUAUAUUCAGUGGCAAGCUUAACCGUAUAGGGUAGGCGUAGCGAAAGCGAGUCUUAAUAGGGCGUUUAGUCGCUGGGUAUAGACCCGAAACCGGGCGAUCUAUCCAUGAGCAGGUUGAAGGUUAGGUAACACUGACUGGAGGACCGAACCCACUCCCGUUGAAAAGGUAGGGGAUGACUUGUGGAUCGGAGUGAAAGGCUAAUCAAGCUCGGAGAUAGCUGGUUCUCCUCGAAAGCUAUUUAGGUAGCGCCUCAUGUAUCACUCUGGGGGGUAGAGCACUGUUUCGGCUAGGGGGUCAUCCCGACUUACCAAACCGAUGCAAACUCCGAAUACCCAGAAGUGCCGAGCAUGGGAGACACACGGCGGGUGCUAACGUCCGUCGUGAAAAGGGAAACAACCCAGACCGCCAGCUAAGGUCCCAAAGUUGUGGUUAAGUGGUAAACGAUGUGGGAAGGCUUAGACAGCUAGGAGGUUGGCUUAGAAGCAGCCACCCUUUAAAGAAAGCGUAAUAGCUCACUAGUCGAGUCGGCCUGCGCGGAAGAUGUAACGGGGCUCAAACCACACACCGAAGCUGCGGGUGUCACGCAAGUGACGCGGUAGAGGAGCGUUCUGUAAGCCUGUGAAGGUGAGUUGAGAAGCUUGCUGGAGGUAUCAGAAGUGCGAAUGCUGACAUGAGUAACGACAAUGGGUGUGAAAAACACCCACGCCGAAAGACCAAGGGUUCCUGCGCAACGUUAAUCGACGCAGGGUUAGUCGGUUCCUAAGGCGAGGCUGAAAAGCGUAGUCGAUGGGAAACAGGUUAAUAUUCCUGUACUUCUGGUUACUGCGAUGGAGGGACGGAGAAGGCUAGGCCAGCUUGGCGUUGGUUGUCCAAGUUUAAGGUGGUAGGCUGAAAUCUUAGGUAAAUCCGGGGUUUCAAGGCCGAGAGCUGAUGACGAGUCGUCUUUUAGAUGACGAAGUGGUUGAUGCCAUGCUUCCAAGAAAAGCUUCUAAGCUUCAGGUAACCAGGAACCGUACCCCAAACCGACACAGGUGGUCGGGUAGAGAAUACCAAGGCGCUUGAGAGAACUCGGGUGAAGGAACUAGGCAAAAUGGCACCGUAACUUCGGGAGAAGGUGCGCCGGCUAGGGUGAAGGAUUUACUCCGUAAGCUCUGGCUGGUCGAAGAUACCAGGCCGCUGCGACUGUUUAUUAAAAACACAGCACUCUGCAAACACGAAAGUGGACGUAUAGGGUGUGACGCCUGCCCGGUGCCGGAAGGUUAAUUGAUGGGGUUAGCGCAAGCGAAGCUCUUGAUCGAAGCCCCGGUAAACGGCGGCCGUAACUAUAACGGUCCUAAGGUAGCGAAAUUCCUUGUCGGGUAAGUUCCGACCUGCACGAAUGGCGUAACGAUGGCGGCGCUGUCUCCACCCGAGACUCAGUGAAAUUGAAAUCGCUGUGAAGAUGCAGUGUAUCCGCGGCUAGACGGAAAGACCCCGUGAACCUUUACUGUAGCUUUGCACUGGACUUUGAGCCUGCUUGUGUAGGAUAGGUGGGAGGCUUUGAAGCGUGGACGCCAGUUCGCGUGGAGCCAUCCUUGAAAUACCACCCUGGCAUGCUUGAGGUUCUAACUCUGGUCCGU